UCUCGCGAAUGCAUCCGAUAUUUUUGAUCAUGGCUCAGAUUGAACGCUGGCGUGNAUGCUUUACACAUGCAAGUCGAACGGUAACAGGUCUUCGGAUGCUGACGAGUGGCGAACGGGUGAGUAAUACAUCGGAACGUGCCUAGUAGUGGGGGAUAACUACUCGAAAGAGUAGCUAAUACCGCAUGAGAUCUACGGAUGAAAGCAGGGGACCUUCGGGCCUUGUGCUACUAGAGCGGCUGAUGGCAGAUUAGGUAGUUGGUGGGGUAAAGGCUUACCAAGCCUGCGAUCUGUAGCUGGUCUGAGAGGACGACCAGCCACACUGGGACUGAGACACGGCCCAGACUCCUACGGGAGGCAGCAGUGGGGAAUUUUGGACAAUGGGCGAAAGCCUGAUCCAGCAAUGCCGCGUGCAGGAUGAAGGCCCUCGGGUUGUAAACUGCUUUUG
rnacentral:rRNA from 1 species